UUUAAGUGGAAUGUAAAACCUAAGACCUAUGUUCUGCAUCUUAACUUAUGUUCGAGAUUAUAAUAAACAACCAAAGUCCUUCAGUCCCAAGAAAAGUCCCUUAAAUCCAACAACGGCUAUUUGAACACCGCUUACUGUACCAGCGGUUGUUGACGAAAAAGUCCCUUGGACUAUAAGCUAGAAGUGUCCCACAAGAUCGACAAAAAAUUAAAGUCCUUUGGACUAUAAACAAGAAAAUUCCCAUAAGAUCGACGAAAACGUCCUUUGGACUAUAAACAAAAAAAGUCCCUUAAGAUCAACGAAAGUCCCUCAGUCCCUUGGACUAUAAACAAGAUAGGAAUGUUGGAAGAAAGAAGUGGACUAUAAACAAGAAAAGUCCCUUAAGAUCGACGAAAAAGUCCCUUGGGCUAUAAACAAGAAAAGUCCCAUAAGAUCGACGAAAAAGUCCUUUGGACUAUAAACAAUAAAAGUCCCUUAAAAUCAACGAAAAUCCCUCAGUCCCUUGGACUAUAAACAAGAUAGGAAUGUUGGAAGAAAAAAGUGGACUAUAAACAAGAAAAGUCCCUUAAGAUCGACGAAAAAGUCCCUUGGACUAUAAACAAGAAAAGUCCCUUGGACUAUAAAACAAAAUAAGUCCUAUAAGAUCAAUAAAAGUCAAGGGACUAUAAACAAGAUGGGAAUGUUGGAAGAAAAAAGUCUUAUAUACAAGAAAAGUCCAUUAAGAUCAACGAAAGUCCCUUAGCCACUAUAAACAAUGAAAGUCCCUCAGUCCCUUUGACUAUAAACAAGAUGGGAAUGUUGGAAGAGAAAAUUCCCCUGGAUUAUAAACUAGAAAAGUCUUUAAGUUCGACGAAAAAGUCCUUUUGACUAUAAACAAUAAAAGUCCUUAAAAUCGACACAAAAGUCCUUUGGACUAUAAACAAGAAAAAUCUCUUAGAUUAUAAACAAAAAAGGUCCCUUGAGAUCAAUGAAAGUCCCUCGGUCCCUUGGACUAUAAACAUGAUGAGAAUGUUGGAAGAAAAAACUCCCUUGAACUACAAACAAGAAAAGUCCAUUGAAAACGACGAAAGUCCCUUAGUCGCUAUAAACGACGAAAGUCUUUAGUCGCUAUAAACGACGAAAGUCCCUUAGUCACUAUAAACGACGAAAGUCCAACAAUCACUUGGACUAUAAAUAGGAUGGGAAUGUUGGAAGAGAAAAAUCCUUUGGGCUAUAAACAAGAAAAGUCCCUUAAGAUCAACAAAAGUGCCAUAGUCACAAUAAUAAAAAAAGCUGGGAAUGUAGGAAGAGAAAUGUCUCUUAGAUUCUAAACAAGUUGAGUGUGGUACCUUAAUUAUGAACUGAUUAUAUACAAUCAUUGCUAAUAUUUUAUUGGGCUUCUUAUUCUUUUAUAUUGUUUCGAUUCUUGGCACAAUUAGUUUGUAUAUUUGGUCUCUUCAGAAUUGUUGAAAUUAAAUAAUUUGUGACUAUAUGAUAUGUUGUUCUAUGAAGGUGCUUAGGAAUAUUGUUUGGUGACCCUAUUAUUGGAAUGCCAUUAUGUUUGGUUAGUGUUCUAUAGCUGUAUACUAUGUGGAGAUGUUAGUGGUAAAUACUAAAUAUAUUGGUGGUUUGAAGCUCAUGUAAUUUGGCUUGCAUGUUAUGAGGACUUGCAAAACAUAUCAUAAUGUGAUAUUGUUUGUUCUCUUAAGUUCAUAAUGUAUGUUUUCUUUAAGUUGGAUUUGGAAACUCCUGUUCAUGAGGGUUGUGGUUUGAAUCAAUUUCCUGGAGAUUAAAAAAAAAAAAAAACUGAGGAUUGGAUGUCGGGUUUUGUUUAAGUGGAGUGUAAAACCUAAGACCUAUGUUCUGCAUCUUGACAUAUGUUUGAGAUUAUAAUAAAAAACGAAAGUCCCUCGUUCCCUUGGACUAUAUAAAAACGAAAAUUCCAUUGGGCUAUAAACAAAAAAAGUCCCUUAAGAUCAACAAAAAUCCUUCAGUCCCUUAGACUAUAAACAAGAUGGGAAUGUUGAAAGAGAAAAAUCCCCUGGAUUAUAAAAAAAGAAGUCCCUUGGACUAUAAACAAGAAAAAUCCAUUAAGAUCGACGAAAAAGUCCUUUGCACUAUAAACAUGAAAAGUCCCUUGGACUAUAAACAAAAAAGUCUUUUAAGAUCAACGAAAGUCUCUCAGUCCUUUGGACUAUAAACAAAAUGCGAAUGUUGGAGGAGAAAAGUCUCCUGGACUACAAACAAGAUAAGUCCCCUAAGAUUGACGAAAAAGUCCCUCGGAUUAUAAACAAGAAAAGUCCCUUGGACUAUAAACAAAAAAAAAGCUCCUUAAGAUCAACGAAGGUCCCUCAAUCCCUUGGAUUAUAAACAAGAUGGCAAUGUUGGAAGAAAAAAGUCCCUUGGACUAUAAACAAGAAAAGUCCGUUAAUAUCAAGGAAAUUGCUGGGAAUGUA
rnacentral:lncRNA from 1 species